GCAAAAAUGGGUUUCCUGGAGGCAGGUUAUGUUGGUUAUCGCUUGUUUCAUCUCUUGUAAGGCUAGCCUCCUUUUGUAGGACAAGUUGAGACAGGAAUAGAGUGGAGGCCAUGGUGGAGGUUGUUUUUGAUUAUGCUUUUAAGGUCUUGACUGAAGUUUUUCCACAAUCGGACCUUGCCCCCUGGAUCAGAGUGAGAAGAGGAAGUGAAGAAAAGGUGAAAGAGGAAGAGAAGCAACC